rnacentral:rRNA from 1 species
CAGUCGCCGCGGGAAUACGUAGGGUGCAAGCGUUAAUCGGAAUUACUGGGCGUAAAGCGUGCGCAGGCGGUUAUAUAAGACAGAUGUGAAAUCCCCGAGCUUAACUUGGGAACUGCAUUUGAAACUGGCAAGCUAGAGUCUUGUAGAGGGGGGUAGAAUUCCAGGUGUAGCGGUGAAAUGCGUAGAGAUCUGGAGGAAUACCGGUGGCGAAGGCGGCCCCCUGGACAAAGACUGACGCUCAGGUGCGAAAGCGUGGGGAGCAAACAGGAUUAGAUACCCCUGUAGUCCCUGUCUCUUAUAC